rnacentral:lncRNA from 1 species
AAGAAAUUAAUGAUUCAAAUCUUAAUAAUUCAUUUAGCUUUUAAAUACUUAAAAUGCUAACUCAUAAUGUUUUUUAUAAUUGCUGAAAAUAGAUUCAAAUUUAAUGCGCAUUGAUGAAAUUUGGUCAUAAGGUUGCGAUUAUACUCAAUUCAGUUAGGUUGAGAUGAUGGCGUGGGUAGCCCAAAGAAUCACUUGUUGGACAACGAUUUUUCUUAUUAUUGGAUUAAAAGAAGUCUUAAGUGUGCAUGGCAAUGUUAUGGAAAAUAGAGACGAUAAUAUACCUACUAGAAAAUGUCUCAGAGACUGCGAAUCCGACUAUGAACAAUGUUUAUCUAUCAUUGAAAGCGUUCUCUCUGACUCAUUUGGUAUAAAUGAAAAACAUAUAUGUUUAUAUGCUUCGAUGCAAUGUAAAUUUAAAUGCGGUAUUCGAAAGAUGUUAAAACACUAUUAAAUAACAAACUUCUAUUUCACAAUUAAAACAUUUUUGGACACAUAAAAAUGGCAUGAAACACCAUUUUACAGAGAACUUAAUUAUUUCUAAUUUUUAAAUAUUGUAAAAUAAAUUAUUUUAAAUUAAUUUAAUUAAUAAUAA